UUUGCAUACCAUCUUAUAUAAUAGCAGACAAAACAGUACAAUGUCUAAAUGCCGUAUCUAAAAAUGGUAUAUACAUACAGUGUGCCUACGCCUCACAACGGAAAACUGCAUUGCCAAGUUGGUUGAAUUUGACCACAUGAGACACGAACUUGUAUAGCAGUUCCAUUUUGUCGCCACUGGGUGGCAGCAUUGUUACGGUAUUGGAUUAGCCGAAACAGCGCUGAGGGCGUGGCCAUUAUAUUAGGAACACCCCGCACCAGCAACGGACAUUGAGUACAGUGGGGCUCAUUACAAUGUUUCCAAAUCUAGACUGAAGGCUGAAGAAAGAGGGAUAUAUCUUAUGAACGAUGGACUCUAAUCCUCAAGUUAACCUGUUCCAGACCUUCAAAGAUAAGUGUAGUGUGUGUUUUAUAAUAACGAAGAUAAUGCGUUUCAUUUACAAUGUUGUGACUUUGGCCAAGGUGUGUGGUGUUUCAAUUAUUUAUAAAAGUUUUGAAGUAUUUCACACUGGUGCUCGUUUCGUUCAGGAAUUAUGGUUGGCUAAAAGCAUGAGUCUGGCUUCCCAAUAUGCUUGAAAUUUUAACUUCUAAACCUGAAGUUUAUGUUCAUGUAAAGAAAUGAGCUUGAGCCCUGGUUCCAGGAGACGGGGGAUCCAGUUUGACGCUGCAUUACCCCCCGACUCUCCCCCGGUGUGCCGAGCAGCGGGCUGAAACCAAUCCUGAUGAAGAUUUGUAAAUCUAGCUCCUGAAAUGUGACGUUAGAUUGAAACCAGUUCUGUUGUCUUCCAAGGUAAGUUUGUUUGUGCCAACACAUUUUAAGGCAUUUUCCUGCAAGUUGGUGUUUUGAGAAGUGUAUAAGCUAUUUUUUUUGUAUUUUUUUUUUUUGCCCAAGUAAUGUUUCAUAAACGUUUUGAGAGUUUUAGGCUUGCUAUGCACUUGGAGAAUUUUUUUUUUUAUUUUUUUUGCAUUUGAUCUCUCUCGCAGCAUUGCUUUGUAUAGCUGGAAAGGCUCGCUCGUGUUUCAAUGUGUGCGUGAAAAUACAUUGCUUUACUGUAAAUGUAAAGUUUUUGUUUUUCAGACUUGAGCGAUGCAGAAAGAGGUUGGAGGAGGUAAUUUAGUGUUUAUUGUUUUUAUAAAUGUGUUUGUAGAUUCCACAGGCCUUGAUGUGUUGCAUGUGUAACUUUGCAAGGAAGACCCGAGUGAAUGAAAUGUUUUGGUGUUGACGUGAGAUGUAAUUGUUCUUUUUUUUUUUUUAUGCCAUUGCGCGAGCCUGAUCGUAAAGGUGUGUGUUUUUGUCUUGUAGAAUUUCAGAAGUCCGAUGUGGAUGUGACGAUCCCUGAAGUCUAAGUAUUUGUUUCAAUGUUACGCUUAUUUUUCUGCCCAAGUGUUUCAGAUUCAUAUCCUAAUGAGACUUUAACUCCAGUGUAUUUGAAAGUGGUUUUAGUUUGUAAAAGUAUUUUAAAGUGUGGUCCGGGGAGUGUAACACGUAACACGUAACUAAUUUUGUUAAAUGUUUUUCAUCCCAGUUUCUAGAAUGUACUUGUGUGUUUUGUUGUUGCUGAUCUGUGUGUCUUUGACAGAUUCCUGACCGUGUUGCUCCAGUGGUUGGUCCUGACUCAGACGAGGAGUGAUUUUUAGUCUGUUCCUGCAUGUUGCGUGGAUUUGACAGAGUCCUGGCUUCAGUGGCUGUUCCUGCAGCUGUGUUUUUACUUUCGAAGGCGUUUCACGACUUGAGG